rnacentral:rRNA from 1 species
GCCAGCAACCAUAUCACCCUGCAAAUCACAACUGGCAAUACACUGAAGCUAAGCAGGAGUGAUCCUGGUCAGUAGCUGGACGGCAGACCUCCUGGGAAAAACUAAGGUUGUUGGAG